CCCACGGGUCCAUUAGAAGCUAUAUAUUCACGUAGCAUGAGUCGUCAACUACAGAAAAUCCUACAAACAGAACAUUUCCAAACGCUUGGACACAGGAGCGGGUCUAUGGACUUAUGCAUCACUAUCAAAGGCGUCUCCUUCCUCUUGCAGGCAGGACUGGGCAUCCUUGCCAAUGUCCUGGUCCUACUGGCCUACAUCCACAUCAUUCUGACCGAUCUGAACCUGCAGCCCGUGGACAUGAUUAUGUGCCACCUGGCCCUCGCUGAUCUCAUGUUGCUGCUGACGCGCUGCAUCCCGCAGACCAUGACCGUGUUCGGCCUGCGAAAUCUGCUCGACGACGGCGGCUGCAAGGUGGUGAUCUACACGUACCGCAUCGCCAGAGCUCUGUCGGUCUGCAUCACCUGCAUGCUGAGCGUCUUCCAGGCGGUGACCGUUGCGCCUGCGUCAGGACCGUAUCUGUCCAGGCUUAAGGCCAAGCUGCCGCAGCUGGUUCUCCCUACGUUUGCGAUGCUGUGGUUUAUAAACAUGGCCGUCUGUAUAGCCGCCCCGUUCUUCUCUGUGGCCCCUCGUAACGGUACCGUCCCCCCGUUCACACUCAAUCUGGGUUUCUGCCAUGUCGACUUCCACGAUAACUUGUCCUACAUCAUUAACGGGGUCGCGGUAUCGGUGCGAGACUUUGCUUUCGUGGGCCUGAUGCUGGGCUCCAGCGUCUACAUCCUGGUCCUCCUGCAUCGCCACAGCAGGAAAGUGAGAGGCAUCCGGCGGUCACAACAGGGCGGCACCAUGGAAACACGGGCUGCCAAGACGGUGCUGAUGUUGGUGGUUCUGUAUGCUGUGUUUUUUGGCAUCGAUAACGUGAUCUGGAUCUACAUGCUUACCGUGACCCAGGUGCCUCCCGUCGUGGCCGAUAUGAGAGUGUUUUUCUCCUCGUGUUAUGCGUCUCUCAGCCCGUUCCUCAUCAUCUCCUCUAAUAAGAAGGUCAAAGCGAGGAUGAUGUGUGCAGCCUCAGACCAAGAGCAGCAAGCAGUGGACAACAAGGACUCAAAUGUUAAAAAAUGACCAGAACAUAGAGCUCUGGGUCUGGGGAAAGAGUUGUAAUUGGGUUAAAAAUAUUAAUAAAAAAACUGUAUAGUAUGCCAUAUCUGUAUCUGAAAUUUCUGAAUGUGAAAACAACACACUUUUUAAUACAGACAAUAAAGUGCCGAAAACUUUUUGAAAGGUUUUAUUUUGACACAUCUGUUCAGGUCUAUUGUGACUCUUAUUUUGACACUUUUGUUCAGUUCCAGUGUGACUCUUAUUUUGACGGGUUAAUUUUCAGUCGCCAUCUUGUCUGAGUGUGUCUGGCUUCAGGCGCGCGCACUGAACCGACCCGGAAAACUCGAGACGAAUUAAUCCGACGAUAAGCUGUUAAUAAGGGUUAGAGUUUGGUUUUUUACCCUGUACUAUUUUACCGUCUAU